ACCCUCCAGCUCCCCCUUGCCUGGGGCUCCCCCCUUUACCCCCACCCCCUUGCCCCAACCCGGUGGCACCAGUCUGUCAUUCUGAGAGCACUUCUACAACCUGAAGGCCCCGGAGGGCGCAGCGGAUGCCCCGGACGUGCAGGAUUUAUCGGCCCAAGCUUUUUUGCUCUCCAGCGGAGUGGUGGUGCCCUGAGGUCAGACGUGCUCACCUUUGUGCACACUCACUGCACAUCUGUGUCCAGUGCAUGGCCCAGAGCUCCGCAAGUCUGUGACAAAUGGAUGCACCGUUGAGUGACCAGCUUGGCAAAUGAGCGUCCCUGGCUGUCAGUGUGAUUCUUGAGGGUUUCAAGGUAACAAGAACAAGGCCAGAAAGGCUGUAACCCCAAAAGAAAAGUCAGUGCCCCUCUGAGGCAGCAUCGACACCAGACGGCACUACCUGGUUCCCUUCACCAUGCCAGGCAUGAGUGUACACUCAGGUACCCACAUUAAACCAUGGACCAGUCUUAGGA